rnacentral:misc_RNA from 1 species
GAUGAAGAACGCAGCGAAAUGCGAUAAGUAAUGUGAAUUGCAGAAUUCAGUGAAUCAUCGAAUCUUUGAACGCGCAUUGCGCCCGCCAGUAUUCUGGCGGGCAUGCCUGUUCGAGCGUCAUUUCAACCAUCAAGCCCCAGGCUUGUGUUGGAGCCCUGCGGCUGCCGCAGCCUCCCAAAACCAGUGGCGGGCUCGCUAUCACACCGAGUGCAGUAGUUUACUCUUCGCUCAGGGCGUGUGGCGGGUGCUAGCCGUAAAACCCCCAACUUCUCAAGGUUGACCUCGGAUCAGGUAGGAAUACCCGCUGAACUUAAGCAUAUCAAUAAGCGGAGGA